UACGGGGGGGGGCAAGCGUUGUUCGGAAUUACUGGGCGUAAAGGGCUCGUAGGCGGCCAACUAAGUCGGACGUGAAAUCCCCAGGCUUAACUUGGGAACUGCGUCCGAUACUGGAUGGCUUGAAUCCGGGAGAGGGAUGCGGAAUUCCAGGUGUAGCGGUGAAAUGCGUAGAUAUCUGGAGGAAUACCGGUGGCGAAGGCGGCAUCCUGGACCGAGAUUGACGCUGAUGAGCGAAAGCUAGGGGAGCAAACGGAUG
rnacentral:rRNA from 1 species